rnacentral:tRNA from 4 species
GGCAGUAUGGCCGAGUGGUUAAGGCGAUAGACUUGAAUCAUCAUUGAAAUCUAUUCUCUUCGGAGGCGUCGGUUCAAAUCCGGCUGCUGUCG